CAGCCUUUCAGUAAAGAGAGGCUGUAAGAAGGGGAGAGACUCUUUUGCAGGGUCUGCUAUGACAGGACAAGGGGAAAUGGUUUCAAACUGAAAGAGGGGAGAUUAAGGCAGGAUAUAAGACUAAAUAUAAGUUUUAUAGAAUAGCUAGAAGUUUGCUGUAGUAAGGACAGUGAAGCACUGAAACAGCUUGCCCAGAGAGGUGGUGGAUGCCCUGUUCCUGGAGACAUUCAAGGUUAGGCUGGACCAGGCCCUGAGCACCCUGAUAUAGUUGUAUAUGUCCCUCUUUAUUGCAGGGGAGUUGGACUAGCUGGCCUUUAAAGGUCCCAUCAAACUCUAAGGAUUCUAUGAUUCUAUGUGUUUUCUCAGAGCAGGCUGCUCCUGCAGAUGCAUUUGGAGAGCAGAAUAGGUUUCCAGCUAUAGAAUGCAAUCGGGAACAGUCAGCAAUAUGGCAGUUCUGAGCUUACAAAGUGCCUUACCAGCAAGGCUUUUCACUACUCUGAGCCACUCCAGCAGAAAAUAAGGUAGUUUUUCCACCUCAUCUGUGCUCUCCUCAUUUCCUUUGGGAAGUCAGGUUUCCAUAGGAAACCAUGCUGUUGGAAGCUGAUUCUUCCAGAGGUCUAACACUAGCCUCUGUAAGUCAGGAAGGCAGCUUAGCAGGCCCACUGGGAAGUAGCAGAUGGAUAGGAAAAUGACAUGCUUUCCAAAAGUAUUUAAAUAUCAACUCUCUUUUGUUACAGCUGUGUAAGAGCCAUAUAAAAUCAAGUAACAUGUAGGAGAGAAAAGGGGUCAUGAAGGAGGAGUUUGAGCAAAAAGUAAUGCUAAAAAAGAAAAAAAAAUCCAUUGCAAAUGGUAAUGUAAAUAAGGUAAAACUUGAAAACUAUGAAGCAAUACUGCAGAUAGUCAUGUCUGAAGGAAUACCUAGAGGGUUCUUUUUGGUGGUGAUCUUCACUCCUGGAUCUGAAUUUUUCUGGACUGUCUCCCUUACCACUUCUGCAGGACACAAUUGCAACAGAAUUUUCCUUGAAUCAACGGAGGACUAUUACUUGAUGAGAUCAUUGUUUUCAGGUAAAUACUUUCCUAUUGUAUAAAUCAUCAUCUUGCAGGUAAUCUGAAGCAGAUAUGCUGCUUGUACAUAAUAAUGAGCUGGUUUCCCCAAUUACCUGUUCUUAUAUCUACUGUGCUGAGGAAUUUGGUCACUUUGAGUAAUCUCCACGCUGCUCAUUACUAACUUGUCUGAAUACAAAUAUAUUUCUAACUGCCAGUGGGUCUUGAGAUAGAUUCAAGACAGGACUAUCAUCAUCUUAGACUGUCAAGGCAAUAGGAUAAGUUAUAAUACUUGUAGACCGAUACAAAGAUGAAACAGGGUAAGUGUUAAGAUAGACAUUUGAGUAAUAAUAUGCUCACAUACAGAUUUCCCCAGGAAGGAAAUACUGUCAACACAGUCAGUGUCUGAGUUUAUCCUCUCAGUGGAAAAGGUGGGUGAAAAACACUUAUUACUUCCUAUGUGCAUAAUUUAAACCUGUGAAACAUACUGCAGAAAUGUAAGGAGCCAUGAAUUUAGACACCGUUUUCAGCUAAAAUAAAGGUUAAAGUUUGUCUGUAGUGUAAGCCUGAGGUUGCAAAUACCCUCAGAAAAUGUUGAGUUUUGUGUGCAAAAGAGUAUGGUAGUGCAAGUCAGGCUGAAGGAGACAAAGUACAAAUUCAGAUAUUUCUAUCAGUAUUUACCUAAAAAUUAAAAAAUGAAACAAUAUUUUCCAAAGUACAGGCACACAGGCAGCAGGCUUGAAAAUUGCAGCAAUUCUCGGUUCUUUGCUUGUUCCAUUAUAUUUAUCAUAUGCUUAGUGCUUUAUGGGACUGGCAGCACAAAAUUUCUGAUUAGAAGUUUGUUCACUGUAGUUCAUCACAAAGUGCCUGUGUUCUUUAUGCUUGGUUGAACCACAAAGAUUCUUGCAGCAACAUUGUGAACAACUGGAUCCCAUAAUAUUUCAUGCAACAAAACUAUUGAACAGAAGGCAUGAUUUAGGUGCUAAAGUAUUUUAUGGCACAUAUUCUUAUGUGAUAUGGCUUAGAUAAGUUCAGAACUCUAUUCAGAACAUCCAGUCUUAGAAUAAGGGUUGAUAAGUUAUUUUGACAAAAAUCUGUUUACCUUCCAAAAAUGCAUACAUGCAGGACAAUCAGUGCAAACAAUGGACAGAGAAGAUAGUGAGUAAGAGAUUAAUUCAGAGAUCCUCAGUCAAAGAAAUAGUUCCACAUACUUUUUUAUUUUGUUUUGAGGAUAGGUAUGAUCCUACAAAGAAAUUUGCCACAAUCUUUUGAUAUUUAUGCAAAGGAGAACAGUUGACAGUAGAUAACAAUUUGAAUGCAGGCCUAAAUCAGGGGACAAUAAAACAUCACAGUAUAAGGAAGGCAUAGGUAUGCCAGCGUUAGCAAUGUCUAAAACCUACUCCGAAUUUGUGGUCACAGCACAAGGGAUAAAAUAGCAAUGUAGAAUUAGUAUGAUUUAAGAAAAUCGUAUAUGUGUCUUGACCUGCAGCUGACACCAGUUUAAAUUAUGCUGAAGAAUCAACUCUGACUCCUCAAUGCUACCAAAAUACUUUCUCCUGCAAACAAUGGAAUUAUCUCCUCCCACACAUACCAAGAUUCACUGGAAGUUCAAUGUAACUCAGCACAUGAAAGUAUUUGGGCAACAUUCAUUUCAUAUUUGUAAGUUGAAGUAAUAACAAGGAAAGGAGCUCUCUUGGGGACGGAUACGAAAUGUUCUGUGCUACCAAGAAAUGGAAAGAGGAAACUUGUAGAUGAUAAAGAUAAAAGUGCAAGAUGUACUGAAUGUCCUAAAGGGAAAGUAUACCCUGCAAAGCCCUCUGCUCGGCCAAUGUCUGUUGUCUGUUCUUUCUCUGGAGCUUUACUCACUAGAGAGCAUUACUCACUUAUAAAGUGAUUUAAGUGCAGGCCUCUUUGUCUUGUGGGUUUAUACAUUGGCUUUAGUCCUGUGUGCUUCUUAAUUUAAAUGCUAACUGAGAUCACAAAUGUCAUUGGGAGGUUUGUUCCCAAACAACCCUCUUGCCACUCAAGCCGCUUUGUAGCCUGAACUUUCCAGACAGGAGGUGUCUCUGGCCUUAUGAACACAAGAAUGUAAACCUGGAGAGAAGCCCCUCCAAGGUAAGAUAGUGCUUGUAAUUGUUUUGCUCUUCUACUUUUCUUGUCAUCAAGGCAUCAUGUCUUUCUAAAACAUAUGCUACAACCACAGAGGAAACAUCAUCAUCUUAGUGAAACAUCUGUGGGAAAAAAGCUUACGUGAGAUGUUGUACAUAGGGAUAGACUAGAUCUUACCAUGUUUACUUUCUGACUUCAGAACAAGUGGACAUUCAACAAUGGUAAGAAGCCCAAAUUUAUAUUGUAUUUGAAUUUCAUAGAAUAUUCACAGAAGAUGUGUCUGUAUAAUUACUAAUAUUCUCCUAGUAACUGUAAUUUUAAUAAUAAUGCUUGUGAUCAUUGGAAAAAAAAAGGAAAAAGUAAAUGCUCAUCCAGAACAUUCUGUUAAGCAUGUGGAUGAGUCAUUGAAAGAAAAAAGAAAAAAAAAUUGAGCUUUUUAUUUUUUUUUUUAAUGAAUUACUCACUCAUGGAUCUAGACACAUCUAGCAGAUGUCAGAAUGUGUGAUGUUCGUGUCAUCACAAGUGGCAAGUUAAAGCACAAUAACAUUUUUUUUCUCUCCUCUGCAUUCUGUGACGGGAUACUUGCCAUUACUAAGAUGUAGGAACUGUCAGAUUACAUUUCUCCCAGUCUUCAGAGACACUGCCACAUCAUAUACUCGUUUGAAAUCAGCAAUGUUCAGUUCAUUCUCUAUCUCAUUUUCCACAGAACUUUACCCUUUUACAAAAUUACUAAUGUGCUGCUUCACACACUGGCGUUUUUGCGAAGCUUUGCACUGGAGGAGGCACUCAAAGCAAAAGUCCUAACUCUAAGAUACUAUUUAUCAGCCACUAUGUUUUUCUGCUAAAAACAAAAAAGACACCCAGUUUAGUCAUCCAUAAGUCAGCCUAGAAAUCAUGAAAACUUUUCUUUCUCUCUCACCCACAUUUGAUAAAUUUACAACUGACUUUUCUGUUGACAACAGGAGAGAAAGAGGGAAGAGCAUCCCUUCAACUGUUAGCUGUUUUGGUGCAGAGAAUUGUUUGAAUCCAACUGCUGCAGGCUGAGAGCAGUGAAGCAAUAAUACAGCAGGUUUAGCUCCCAACUGUCCCUAAUUUUUUCAUUAACAAUCUUCAUAGUUUGUCCUCUGUCUAGAGAAUUCCCUUCAUUAAGUAUGCAGAUUUGGAAAGAAUGAAAAAUGCUUGGUUUUAAAAGCAAUGGCUGGAUAUUUCAUCAUAUAUUCCAGCUCCUUCUCUCAUUUUCACUCGUAGCACCUUGCUUAUAUGUUCUCUUUUGUUUUUACCUAUAUUUCUGCUUUUUGCCACAGAUGUUUUGUUGGGUUAUUUUUCCUGUCACUUGCAUGUUGUUUUAUUUCAAAUCCCAAUUUUCUGUUGUGAAAGGUUUGUAGAUGAAAAAAAAAGGAGAGACUAAGUUGCAGAGUGUAUUGACUUCUCUAGAUUUACAUUUCCAUCAACAUUCAUAGUAGUCUAAUUAAUUUGUGGACCUUGCAAGCUUUCUCCUUCCCAAAAAAAAAAAAAAAAAAAAAAAAAGUGUAUGUAGGCCAACUUAGGGUAGUUAAGAAUCACAAUUCAAGUUAGAAAUAAUAACAAUUCAAGAAAGAAAACAAUCACCAUUUUUGGUCUCUUUCUUUUCUGUAAGAGGUCAGAGCCAACACUUCCACUGAGUUCAAGAGGGAGACUUCUCUGCCUUUAUGGUCAAGUAAACACAGUUAAAAUACAUAAGCCAGACAUAUACAGACAAAAUACAUGGUCUGUUUCUAAGGCCAAAUUUGGUAACCAAUCACAAUGAAUUCACUGUUUCUAAAUGAGGGCAGAAGUUGUCCCUACAAGACAUUUUCUUUAUUUAUGAUUUUAGUAAGCUUUGUUGAGUUUAUCAAGGCCUUCCUUUUUUUUAGUUGGUUGGGUUUUUUUUUUGUUUGUUUCGUUUUUUGUUUUGUGCGCACAGACUAUCUCAUACGGUGGAUUAUUAUUCCUUGUCUCCGAGUAUAUGACAGUUUUGUAGCACACAAGAAAAAACAAUGUUAUGAAUACUUAUGUGCGGUAUCUUUCUUCAAGAUGAUGCUACUGUCUAUGCAAAGAUUGCAAUUUUGAGAUGAAAGAAAGGACACAUUCGUAAAUGGUAGCACAGUCCUGAAAUUUAUACUAUGGAUUUCAGCUUUUCAGUUUAGUUAGAAAAAUCUUCAGGCUUUCAAGGCAUCCUCUGCAGUGAUCCAGAGAUAAGCUAAACCUGAACAUUUUUUCAUGAAAAAUGAAAGAACACGUUGUUGCUAAUACACUAUUAGCUGAAGUUUUCCAAGGGAUAGGAUUGAAGCUCUGCUCCUUUCAAGAGACAGUCUGACAGCAGCCACACUAGAGCCAACUGUACAGUCACUCUCCAGUGCAGCCAACAAACAAGCUGAGGGAAGACAGCUAAGGGAUCAGACCCAGGUCUCGCCAUAGACGUAGCUGUUGGAAACAUUAUAUUCUGAAACAAAACUGAAAUAAAUUAUCAGCAGAAGUGUGGGACUGACUACACCCGGAAUGACUAAUAUUUUAAUGUUGAAGGAAAUUUCCCAGACUGCACUUUUAGAGACCACUGCUUAUGACUGAUAAUAUCAAGGACAGAAAGUGCAGGAAAGUAGUCAAGGAAUUGCUCACAGGAGGCUAAAUCUGAACACCUUCUUCCUCCUUGUUUUUGUGAUACUUGCUGAGAAGAUGCUGAUGUUUUCAAGGUCAAAGUUCUCCAAAGAAGGUUAUUCCAUUCUCUUGGUGAAUUCUCCAUGACCACAGACUCUCCACUCUGUGUAGGGGACAUUUUUUGAGGUACAGAGGAGAGUUAGAUGCCCAAUUCCCAUUAUUUCUCAAGGCAAUUACAUGCUUAACUGCCCUCUGUGCCUUUUAUAACCUUCCUUUUAGGAGUCAGAUGUCCAUGAUUACAUAGAUUAUCUACAAGUUUCACAACAGCAGUACUUUGAGGUACUUUAAAAUGCUAUUGGAAGGUUUGACAACAUACAUAAAAUGUAGAGUAAUGAUCAUAGAGUCUAUGGAUUGUUUGUUUUAAGAAGCUGAGAUUUUAAUGCAAAAAUAGGAUACAUUUUUAAGGAAACAUACCCUCAGCCUAAAAUACAUAUAAUUAUGGUUUAUUCUGUUGCUCCAGUGGAUUAAAACAUUCAUUAUACGAGCCACAGAUAAGAUAUAAUCUGGGAGGCUGAUGACUUUUGCAACAUCACAGAAGAUUAAAGGGGAGAUUUUGUUGUAAACUAGUUGAGUUUGUAGAAAAAAACUAUGUCUACUAUGUGGUAAAAUGAUUGCUGUCACUUUCAGCUCUGGCUUUUCUAUUCCAUUUUUCAUAGUCUAGCUGGCUGUAAAUCUUCAAAAUUGCAUAAUGCCAAUUAAGAAAAUAAAGAGCAAAUUGAGAUACCAGUACUCAUAGAGGAAUGUUGCUGGCUGAGGCCCCAGAUAUUUUUUGUGUCUCCAGUGAUUUGCCUGUAACUGUUCCAGGAAGUUUGGGAAAAGCUUUGCAUUGACAUCAUGCUAUAAAUGCUGGAAAAAGCUUUAUCCUGGGAAAAAUUUGAGUCCCAGUUCAGUGUCCUGGGUAACCUAUCCUACGACUUCUAUGGAUAUUCUCAAGGUUAAUGAAUUCAGCAGAAAUCUAACCCAUCUCUUUCUAUGCUUUCAAAGCUGUUUUAUGGAAGAAAAAGUUAACAAAUUUUUUAUAUCUGCAUUAUUUUCUCCUGAUUUUACUUUUCCCAAAAUCUUUUGUUUUUUGUCUUUUCAAGUGCAGCUGCUCCUAUGAACCACAUAAUAGGAAAGUAUGUUAUACUAUUAUACUUCAUUUAAAAAAAAUACUUUAACAGUAAUUUAUUCUCACUAACAAAAGAAACAGAUGAAGGAUGGCUCGCCUUUUCUUAAAACAUGGUCUUCAGGAUUGUUUGCUUCUUUUUAUAAAUUAAAAGCAGUAGACAUAAUGACAGUAGGCAUAGAUCAAACUAAUUCCUGGAAAAAAAUAAAACAUCAGAAGGGCCAUUUAGAUUCAGUUCAUAAAGAUAGCCACUGUGGAAAGUUAAAUCACUGACAAGUGAGCUUCUGAGGAGGAGGGAAAGCAUCCAGUGACUGUUAGGAUCAGUACUUAAUCUCUUAGUUGAAAAUUCAAUAGAGUUACUAUUUAGAGGGGUUUUAGUUUUCCAGGAAUUAUUGUUACUUCCACCACUUGUCAGUGAAUGGUUGGGUUUUCUGAACCAAACUGUGUGACUCAGAAUACUUGUGAUUACAUCUCUGUGGAAGUAUCAAGGACCAAGAAGAUGUGCUGUUCUUGCGGCGUCUGUCUCUCACACUGAUUGAGAGAAAAGCCAGUUGACUAGUUUGAUCUAGAAGCCCUAUUUUUAGAUGAACUGAUUUAGGCAAGAAAAACCUAACUAAAUAAAUUCCAAUUACUGUAUUGCUGUUCAUUUUCAAGUUAAAUCUUUUAGUAUGAAAGAUCUGCAAAAUAAUUUUGUGAGAAGUAACAAUCCUUUUCUUGUAAUAGUGGUUGGGAAAAAAAACAGGAAAUAGAACAACCUUGCAAGUUCAUAAGAAAUGAAUUUCUUUUGCAGUUAUUGCUAAAUGUGCCAUUUUUUUCUGACUUUUUAUUCUUUGUGUACAUUUUUUCAUAAAUAUGUUGUACGGGAAAAAAUUGUUUUAAUAACCUCUCACAUUUGGCAAACUGAAACCCCGAUGUCUCAUUUCACUUUUCUGAUAUUUCACAGCCAAGGAUUAGCAACAUUUUAGAAACAAUGCUAAGACUGUGUGUACUUGUUGUUUUUAAUAAAACUGUCAAGUGCUAAACCCUGUGAGUGCAUAGGUAUAUUUAUAGAUUAUUUCUCUCCAAAUGAAUACGAAGAAUUAUUUUUAAAACCACAUUCCCAAAUGUAAAGCUAGCAAAACAAAGCAAUAUUUCACUAUAAAAAAAUAUGCAAAAACUAAUACAUGUUUUGGACAGACAGAGAAAGACAUGUUUCAGUAUUCUGAAAAUAAUCUGAUUCUAAAUAAGACACACAAUAAAAAAAGAACUGUUAGAAACUAAUUUCUUUCCUUUUGCCUUCAGUGUUUUUUUUACUUUAUUCAAUACAGAUUAGUCAAUUAUAAUCUAGUACUACCAUUUCAGAGUAUAACAGCUAUUAUUGGACUUCAAAAAUAAAGGUAAAUGUUAUUUAUCUGCUUAUGAUACAGGUAAUGAAUCUCAAGUAUAGGCAGAUUACACCCAAGUUCAAAUACUUACAUUUAGUCACAUUUUUAGUUUUUAGUCACUUAUUGGAUUCAGAAACCCAAGUCAACUAAACUGUCUGUCUUCACAUAAUCAUUACCUUCCACAUUUACUAAAUCUGAAAGAUCUAUCUGUACCACUAUCCUUUGUAGACAGUGAACAAACCCAUCUAUUUUAUUCAUAACCUUCAGUAUCUGUAGUCACAUUUUCCUACCUGAUAUCAGCUCCAGAAAUGUUAGGAAUGGUGCCUAAAUGUUAUGUUUCACUGUGAUUCUUCUGAAAAGCAUCAAUACAUCGAGACAGUGUUCAUUUUGACGUUGGUGGCAAUGAGAACCAGAACUGCUCAACUCAAGGCUAGAGAUUCUCCUAGACUUUAAGAAUAGUUCAGCUUUAAGAGUAGAAAUAAUCUGAUUUGAUGUAGAUGUCAACACUGGGUUCUCUUGACAGACAGUGGAAAUCUACUCAGUAGUUCAGAUUGUGAUUCAUAUCAUUCUAAAGUAAACACUUAAAAUAGGCCAGAGAAACCAUACCCUAAUCAAGUCUGCAGAGACUUCAGAUGGAGCCUAAGAUGAUGAACUCAACUGAAGAAAGCUGAUGUUACAAGGAAUCCAUGCAUGUACUAUACAAUACAACAUUUAUACAACAUUUAUUGACUGUUGUAGUCCAUUGUAUCUAGUGUCCUAUAUUCCAAAGAAGAAAAAAAAAACACAAAAAAACCUGCAAGGAUAAAGAUUUUUAAGUCUUCUGCAAUCUUACCUGUAAAAUACAUCCCCAAACCUUAAUAAACCUUUUUUAGAGUUACAACAAAAAUAGUGUAAAGAGACUCUGAAGAAUUAAGACCUUUAAAAAAAAAUAAUAAUUAAAAAAAGUUGAAAUUAGACAUGGGAUUUCAAAAGCAAGGAGAUUUGAAUGUCUAGUGUAAACUGAGCAACCAUAUCCCUUGGGCUUCUUUGAAAGCCUAAAUAUUAGUAAAAGGAAAAUUAAAUCAGGAAAACAUUGGCACUUCUUACCAUUUUGUUACUGGAAAGGGACUGCAGCAAAAAUAGCUAGUUCUCUUAGAGCAAAUGUGUUAAUGUAAAGACACUGUUUCCUUCAUUCUACAAUAUCUUAUUUUUGGAGAAAAACAAGCAUUCCAGUUGCCACGUUUUAUUCAGUUCUGUUUUUUUCAGUUCAGGUGAAUCUAUAUUGAUGGAACCUCUGUCGGCUAAUUUUGUAAAAUACAACUCACAAUAAUCUUGUGAGCGCAGCUCUUUUUCUAAAGCACCAUUUAAAGCAUUUUAAAAGUUUGCCCAUGUUCCACUCCAACUACACAGCAUUAAGCUCUGUCCAUAAAGGAUUUUCUGAAGAGAUUUUGAUAGGAAGACUUGCAAUGAAUACCUUGACUAAUAAAAAUUUAAAAAUACACACUGUAUGUAUUUAUAUUAGUCUGUCUCUUUCAACAGGAAGUGUUAUAGAAAUGCGAUUACCAGACACUGAGGUUUUUUAACGUAUAAAAUAGGAAAGAGAGAGGACAAGCUGUGGUGAAGAAAAUGCAAGCAUUGUACAACUCAACAGACCUCCUGUCCCAGAGAGAUUUAUUUACUGGAAAUUACGGUGAGAGGAAAGAGACUAAAUAACUUUAAGUCCCAAGUUAUUAUGUCAUAUGUAGCCCCAUAGCACAAUAUAACUACAAUCUGCAGCUUUGUAAACUGAGCUGUCAAAUACUUGUUAUUUUAAAGCUGCAGCUUUUCAGGGUCCUCUGACAGCCAGUGGUCCCAGCUCUCAGCCUGAUUCAUUGCUGGCUCUGAGACAGAGGAAGUUCGCGUCUGCUGUAAUCUAAACACUUUGCAAAUGGAGCACUGGAACAGUGGUGAAAGGAGAAAACAGCCUAAACCCUAUAAACCAGACAAGAAUCCUACAAAGCUUCUGGGGAGAAAAGAAAUAAGUACAACAGUACAGAUUGCAAGAUCAGCAAAAGUAUUCAUGCAAUUUUAUUUUGAACAAAAACAUUGAUUUUAAGCCACUUGGAUGAAAAGCAGUGAAAAUUAUUCUCUGUCAAAAAUAUGGAAACAAUGUCCCAGAUGUGUACUUCUGCAACAUCUGUAUUUUCCAUUUCAAGCAUAAAUAUUAAAAGGUGGGUUGUAGGAGGGUAUCUCCUUUUCCUCCGUUCUCUCCUAUCCCUGAGAGUUGUUUGCUUAGUCCUUAAACUGAGAUCAGUGGUUGAUUAUAAAACAUAAAACAAUGCAGAUAAUUUCCAUUACUUUUUCAGAAGCAUCAUGCAAAUGUUAAAGGGAUGAUGUAUUCCUGGGCUGUAGUACCGUGUCCCUGUACUGCUGAGACAAUGAAAUCAGACGUGUCUAUAGUUUACUCUUUCUUAAAGGAAACAAAUGCCCAAAUUCACUGAGAAAUCUUUUUAAAAAUAAUAAUAAUCUUUUCUGAUUUUAGCCUUAUUACAGUACUCACACAAUAGUAGUCUUCCUGAUCUCCAGUACACAUCUGCUGUUCUUACCUUUGCUGUUGAACCAACUUGCACAGAGCAAUGCUCAUCUGCCAUUCAUCCCUCUCUUUAUAUCGUGGUCUAACUGAGUAUAGAAAAUGUUUAUCUUAAGUACUUAUAUGAACCUCAACUUAGACUUACAUGUAGCCUUAGGAUAGCAUUCUAGCUUCAAUUUUCUCUAAACUGUCUGGAAAAUAUAUGUUUCUGUAUAAAAGAAAACUUGGUAAUUCUAUUCUACCAGACCUCAUGGCAAUAAAAAACAAAUGUAUUUUUGUAGUUUGUGUUUGGUGAGUUACAGCUCAAUUCUUUAGCAUUCGUUACAUUGACAAUAAUGCAUUACAGAAGGAAUUGUUGCAAAAGAGAAGGAUUUUUGAGAAGACAUAGUAGUAUAAUUUGUACAAAUUCUGUUCAGAAAGACACAAUGCUGAAAGUUUUGGAACUUACUUGAAAUGCUUAUAGCAGCCAUAACAUUUGCCUUUCAGACAAUGAUUUAUGGGCAGCUGGAAUUUGCAUGCAUUGCUCCGAAUCUGUGGAAGAAUCUAUGUGGUUGUUCAUGGCCUUCAGAAACAUGGAUGCUGCAAAGCAGAGCUAUGGAGAAUAUGGAAAGCAGGCUCAAAAAGCAUCUGCAAAUCUGUGCCAAUAUUAUUGCCUCUGUCAUCAAGCAAUGGAAAGGUUUUUCUAGUUAAAUUCAAGUAAUUAAAUCUCCCUGCUCUCAUUAAAAAAAAUACAACUGUCUGCUGCUGGUCUGAAGAAUUGCACAGAGUGAACGUAAAUUUUAAUUUCAUGGUGCAAGUGUUAAAUUAUUGCCAUCUAAGCUGUCUGCCAGUGUUACAUGAAAUCCCACCACAUUUUAAUAAUUCUCCCUUUGUUUUGGAUGGAAAUACCACGUGUUGUGAUUUGGAAGUUUUUAUGUGCAAUUAGAGCCCUGAGAACUACAACAUAAUCACAUUCAAUUCACCUAAUUGGACAGCGAGGAAACUGUCAUUUCUGAAAUGGUUUGUGUCUUUUGGAAUGUCUGUGUGUAUACACAUGCGUAUAAAAUGAAACAUUUUCUCACCCAUCCUGUGUUAAAAUGUAAUAGAAACUCCUGCUAACUGAAGUUGAAGAUAUAGCUGGGUGUUCUUUAGUAACCUCAAAACAUAUACGUGUGCGUGUAAAUAAAAAACUGUCCUUCUAAACACAAGGAUCCUUCCCUCCUACUUACUUUGCAACAUCUUAGUAAGGAUUUGCCAUCAAUUCCCUCUCUUUACAGUGCAUUUGAUGACAUUUUACAGAUCAUCAUACUAAAUAAGUAAGAACCAUCCUCUGAUUUAGAAGAAAAACCUUUAUUUAUUUCAAUUUAUUUUGGGAGUUCAGAAGUAAUGACAAACUUGACAAUCUUCAUGACAAACAUGACAAUCUUCACAUCACUUUAAGCUGUGUGACCAAAAAGCCAUUAGCUUCACAGAAACAGACAAUACAUUUCAUCCUGAAACAACACUUAUGAUCAACAUUUAUGCAAUCUAUAGGUACUUCCUAUAUUUGUAUCAAUGCAAGUAAGAAGACAUGGAGUAUCAAACCAGCAAGGGCUUAGAAAUAUCAAGCCCAAGAGUUUACCCAUUUACUUCAGUGGAAAAUAGUGCUAGUAAAUAUCAAUACAUAUUUUAAUCUUUUAUUUCAGUAAUUUCCAUGUAAAAGCAAACAUAUUCUGCCAACUUUAUUCAUUGUCUUUGAUCUUUUUUUGAAGCAUAUUAUGAUAGAUUUCUGAAUCUUUUAAUUCAAUGUUGAAGUAGAUAUUAAGUAUAUCACAACACCAAUCCACACUAAAUAGAACUUUUGUUUUUUGUUCUUUUGCUGAAAUGUCUGACAGUAUUUCAAGAAUAAUUUAAUUAUGAACUUUAUAUUAACAAAAGACAAGUGAUUUUUUAUUCCAUUCAGUGUGGAAUAAGAUACUACCUAUAUUUGUUAAGCCCUGUGUAUCAACCAGAAUUUGCAAAGGGAAGUUAUCAACUUCAGAUACUCAUUCUCCAUUUCCCAUAAAUAUGUUAAAAAUACAAAGUCAGCUCCUAAGUUUUUCAUCAAAUAAACUAGCUUAUUAAGAUUAAGUGGCCUGAAACCACCAUCUGUGAGUUCACAUUUAUAUCUAGAAAACCUGUAUAAUCAUGUGUAUUGAGAGUAAGGCUUAGUGUUGGAAGGCCCAACCUUGUAAACAAGCUUUGUUUACACAAGAAGACAAUAGGACUCUUCUUUUGUUUCAGAGUUUACAUGUUCAGAGGCUGAGAUCACUAUUUUUGAAAUGUGAUGAUGGGAAUACAAAGUAAUUACCUUUAUGAAGGUUUUACAAAGAAUCCUGUAAGUAAAGCCCAUGACAGAAAUAUAUAGUGUCUCCAAAGAAACAAUUAUGAUGUAUUGUGUUUGAAUAAUAACUCAGAAUGUUUUAUCAUCAUCUGUUUACAUAAUAAGUCAUAAUAACUUUUCAAAAUAUGGUGCUUGCAUUUUUAUUAUUGUUUUAAGUGUACAUAGGGGAAUUACUACAGCCUAGAAUCAUAAACUUUGUAAAACUUUGUUGAAGACUGCAUUUUUAUUCCCAUCCUCUUCUGCUCAAACAAAAAUGUAAAGGAAACAACACACAAAUAAAAGUACGCUAAAAUAAUCCCAUGUGUCUGGCUAAAAGAAAAGACAGGAAAUUCUUAAAAGUGUGGUUAUAAACUGAAAAAUGCCUUUAAACAUGGCUUCCUACUGUCUCACAUUUAUAUAUUCAUAAUUAUUUCACUAUCAAUAUUUUCUUUGCUUAUAUGUACACAAAUUACAUUAUUCAACAUGCCAAGACCACAUUCUCAGUCUGAUAUCUGGAAUACAAAGCCCUGUUGUCACUGGCUUCUACUACAGUGUUAAAGAUGGAACUGAGAGAAAUUCCUAGAUUCCCUCUCCUGGAAACUUUAUGAUUUAAGCCUACUUCUGACCUUUAGCAAUAUUUCCUUGGGGAGACUGAGGUCCAAAUUAAACUUUCAGGAAUUACAAGAGAAAUUUCAAUGAACUCUAGAGAUGCCAGAAAGACAAAUGACAAAAGUAGUUAAAGCAAAAGUGCUGAGCACGUCUUAAGUGCUUCAAUUAGAACUCUUGUUCCCCACAGGAUGUUCCAGAAAGGUGUAGAGGUGCUCACAGACCCUCACAAUGGUUUCAGACAUCUAGCCCACAAAGUAGAAUCCAAAGCCAAGAUUAGAGAGCUGUUACCUACAGAGAACAGAUGAUGUUAUGUGAGAGGACUAACAAAGUAGAAACAUUAUGGAGUUAUCUAGAAUCUAACUCAUAAUUUUGAAAGUCAGAUAAUGCCAACCUAUGUAGUUGAGGCACUCUGUCACAGUGGAAGACUGUGGUUAUUUCCAUCCACUCAGUGUCCACAGACCAUCAAGGUAAUUCAAUUUUUGUUUCAAAGGCUCCGUUUUUUUAAAAAAACAUAACCACUGUUGAAGAUGAGAUGUUAAUAAUGGAACAUAGGAUUAUUCUUAGUUCUACUAUUUACUGAAAAAUAGACAUACAAACUGUGUGGGGCAAAGACAAAGGCCAGAAUCCUGCUUGCUCCAUAAAAAUUGUUUCCUUCCUCAUUUAUCUCCUUGAAUCUUAAUGAGUUUUGCAGUUGUAGUGCACAUCUGUACAGCUAUGUAGACUAGCCUGGGACCCAGUGGGUAAGGUGUGCCUCCUCAGAAAUUAGAGUUUAAAAUACCUGAGGUCAAAGCAGAUGUAAAAAGUUGUCUCCUUCUGAAAGGUUUCCAGUUUUAUUGGCAUAUACUACGUUUGUCUGAGUGCACUUUCCAGGUCUGUGCUAUAAGCUAACACUACCAUUUAUCUUCUGGAUUCCCAGACUGUUUAAGUCAGACAGAGGUACAUGCCCGCUUCACCCUGAGCCCUUCUGCGAAUGGUCAGAAACAGAAUACUGUGUGAUCUCAAAAAGAUUCAGAGCAAACAUGGAAGACAGUUAUGUUUAAAUGACACUCUGGUUGGGCAGGCACUGAACGCAGUAACAGUUUCAACAUAGACACCUUAAACCUUCCAGUAUUCUAUUUUAGGUUUGUUCUUCAUUCUUGCAUCACAGCAGGAGUUGUACCCUUUAUCAGUGUUGAUGUCUUCUUAAAAGAGGGUCUGUGACCGCAUUUGAAGUAUCUCUACUACCAGUUGUGGUGAUUUCACCCUGAUGUGCAGCUAAACUACUACAUCAUUCUCCUGUUACUCCUACUCAAAGGAAGAGGGGGAGAAAAUGAAAUGAAAAAAGGCUCAGGGUUUGAGAUUACCGUCACUGAUCAGUGAUUAUGAGAAUAAAUAAACAUAGUGUGGAAAAAUCUUUGUAUAGUCAUUAAAAUACCCAAGUGUGGCAUUCUAGUAGAGAUUUAAUAAGGAGAAGAAACUGACCCUCAGACUUAGGAAUUCAUUUUCUUUACUUUUCUACAAGGACAGACAUACAUCUCUCUAUCUAAUUUAUAUAUACAUACGUAUAUAUAAAGCAAAGCUUUUAAAGAAUUUUUAUUUAUCAUUGUAAAAUCUCUACUUAGAAUUGGAAAGAGAUAGAAAAAAAAAAAGUAGACUUUGAUUAUCACCUUGAUACAUCUAAGUGUUUACAGUGGGAGCUAAGCUGUAGCAUAGCAAUGUAAUAAAAAUAGAAAGUAAAGUGACGUAAAAAGUGCACUGAGGACUACCUUAUAACUAAUUCCAAACGUUCAAGAAUAGUAAAUGGUUAACAGUGAUGCAAAAGGAAAUUACAGAAAAAACAAUCAAAAAGGACUCCUAAACAAUGAAAGGAAACAAAAAAUUAAUAAAGCAGAAGACUGAAAAACAGAUAAGGAGAGCAAAACGGUGAAAGAUUUCACAGAAGAUUAUGAAAUUAGCACAAAAAAUUUUUAAACAAUCCUAAGAAUAAACUGUCAUUGAAGAACAGAAUAGGGAUUGUGGAGGAUCAUUUUUUAAGGGAUGAGGUAAAAAAAGAUGGAAAAUUUAAACAAAUUCUUCGCAUAGCUGUUCAGAAAGAAAUGUCAGCUCGCAGAGCUGUAGAAAUAUAGGUACAUAUUUUCUGGAGCAAAAGGAAGGAUAAAACACCUAAGUAAACACACACUGUAUGUGACAUAGUACAGAUGACAAUCUUAGCAUGUAUCACAUAAAAUAAUUUCUCAGUGCUAAAGCAUAUGCACUUCAGAAUUCACAGAAAGGGACAAAAAACAGCAUCACUCUUCACAAGACUAAUUUACAUCACUUCACCAUUCAGAUAACUUUUCCUUUUCAAAAUGUUGCUUUGAAGUCACAUGGGCUACUUACAUGACUGACAACUCUAGGACUGCAGUGAAAAAGAAGUUUCAGUGGAAUUAAAGAAAAAGUAACGGGAAGUGUGCAGGAGGUAUCUGUGCAAAGAAGGGCCCCAUGCAACUCCUCUCACAGCUUGCCUCUAAAAACUCAAGAACUGGGUUUAAAUGAGAGAAACACCUUGUCUUUCUGGCAAGUUUUAGCAAUGCCUUCUAUGCAGGAAAGCAAUUUGCUUCAAGACCAAACAGAAAUGCACACUGGUUAAGAGUGAUAUAUUACAAAAACAACAGAGUAUAGCUAAAUUCAGCAAAUUAUGAAGCAAUGGCUAUUUCAGUGAGAGUCAGAGAUUCGUCUAAUGAGAUCCAGGAGUUUCAGCUCUGAACAAAAAGUGAUGAAUUCAAGCUUAAAUUCCUACAAGUAACCCCUAUUCUACAUUAAAGGUAACCAUCCAUCACAUUUUUAACUACAUCUACAAGGGAGUUCAGUAACUUCAGUCUAAAAAAUUCAAAACACAGACAUAUUUUCAGCCAAAACAAAGCCAGAGCCAGCAGUAAUUUUAAUUCUUUUCACUAAGUAUUGUUCUGGCCAUAAGACUAUGUGUAAAAUGGAUGUGGUUGAAGCCACAAUGGACUGUAAGGUUUAUAGGAUGAACAAGUUGCUAAGGAAGAGCUUGCAUGCCUAAAAACUUACAUUAUUCCAGCUGGAGUGCAUCCUGUAACAACAGUACUUCUUUAUUCUUCCAUAUCUUCCCUAAAAAGCUGAGCGCUCUGGCUGAAGACAGGCCAGGAGAGGCGCAUGGAUGUUUGCCUUCUUCAUGUUGCCUGAAAACCUAGUCCUUGUCUCAUCUGGGAACAGGACAGUCAUGCCAAGUGGAUGCAUCUCCCUGCAUCUGUGGAGAGACAGCAAAUGUGCUGUCUGGAAAGUAUCUGUGUUCUAGGAGGUGAGAAACUGGCUUGGGCUGUUUGAUUUCACUUCUACUCAGAGAAAUGGGGCAAUGAACUUUCUAAUAAACAGGUUUGGUUCACAGAGGGAUGACUCCACCAUCGAUCAUUCCACCAGAGGAAUAACUCAAGAUUCGAAAAUUUUAACCAGAUAAUUUUAUCAAAAGAAUAAUAAAAAAAAAAAAAAAAAAAAAAAAAAAAAAAGGACCAAGUAAUGACUUAAAACAAUUGCUGUGAUAUUACAUCUACAUAGGAUCUACUGGCCUAUAUGUCAGUUUUAAUCUGCCACUGGUUAAAUCCUACAUACUGAGCAAAAUAACUUACCAACACAAUACAUGCAAAGUAAAUAAAUACUCAAGCAACACUCUAUGUCCCACAUCCACUCAGAUACCAGAAGUGUGUAUUUCCAGUCUGUGAAAUACAAUGAUAAGUAAAAACAGUGAUUCUCCAUGAGUGCAUUACUCAGAAGAAGCAAUGUUAAGGCAGUCAGUGUGAUCUUUAAAAAUCACUCCCAGUAAAUAAAUAAAUAAGCACCUCUACCUGCACAGCUAUCUGAAGACAAGUUAACAAAUUCUGUUUUCCACUUAUUAGCAAAUCAGUUGUUCUGUAAAGAAUACAUGAUCAAAACCUACAGCAACAGCUGGCACAUGUAUAAAGCGGGGCAAAAAAAUUAAGAUGAAGUAUUUCUGACAAAAAAAUAUAUGAAACAAAACAAAGUUGAAAACUGAAGCAGAUAUCAGAUAACCAUUUUGUCAUUUAUAAAAUACUUUUUCAGGACAAAAGGGGUUGCCAUACCUUUUCACUCAGCAUAUCCUCAGAGUCACAUAUUAAGCUGAUCAAAUCCGAGGGUACUGCAGUAAGCUGAAGCUUGAAGCUGCCUCCACUUCCUUCAUUUCGUUUACAGUUUUGUUUGGGGGUUGUUCUUUUUUUUCUUUUUAGCUUGCAGAAACCUGAGGGAAAAAAUAUUUUGGGGGUUACUAUCGAAAUAGUUUAUUCAGUAGUCAAUUAACUGAAAAAAACAAAUAGUUCUAAACUGAUCUCUUAUAUACCAUGCCCCUUUUUAUAUCAUAGUUAUUGGUUCCAUUCUGUUGUUAUAUUUUACUGAAAACAUUAUGAAUAUAAAUGAGAAUAGUGCACAAAGAGCAGAGGUGAAGAUAUGUCCCAUUAGAAAUCUGCUUUUUUACUUACAUUUACUGAGGUUAUCAAGUACCUCUUUAUGAACUCUUCAUCCCUUUCUAAAAGGUAAAGUUGAAAUUGGGAAAUAUAUUGCAUCAGUUAUUGGGCAUUCUGGGGUUUUCCAUUAUUUUAAAAACCUCCUAUGUGCCUAAUUAUAGCUAAUAAGUACUGUUUAGAAACAUAGCAGAGAACUCAUGAUUUCCUUCUUCACCCAAUGCCCAGAAAAUCCAUGUCCGAGAACAAAAUCUUGAAGGUAUUUGUGAUCAUGACCCAUUCUCAUUAUCUGUAUCCAUUCUAAGAUUUUUAUAUUAUAUGAAUGAAUAUUUUAAAGUGAAAUUAUAGUAUUCAAUGGCAAAUUACAACUACAUGUGACCAAGAGAGGAUUAAACCCAUCAUUUUGCUUAAGAGCUCUGAUGGCUGGAGUAAUUGGAUGAUAGCUGUAGGGCAUCUUUUUGGUCUGUAAUUAGGUCAUUUCUUUCUCAUCCCUUCACUGUGUGUAUAAUUACGAAUUAAUUUGAAAUCCCACUGUGAGUAAAGAAAGUCAGUUUAAUAUAACGGAAGUGCAAAAGCCACAAUAUAUUACUUUUUAAAAACUGCUUAUUUCAAAAUACUCAGUCUGGCCAAAAGUUAUAUCCCUAUGUACUGCAAGGCUUAUAUUUGGUUUCUUUGCUAACUUUGUACAAGUGCUGCUCUGAAAGUAAUGCCUCCUGUUUUAUUAUGUUGGUGUGCAAUGUCAGAGGUGGAUUUUGGUGGUACAUCAGGAGAGGUUGAACCUUCACACCAGUAUUCCACUACAUUUUGUUGCUGUGUGACAGAUGGCAGCAGAGGGUCAGUCUGACAAAAUGGCUUCUGACACGGAAGCAUCUGAGAAGAAAAGAUGUGGAACUGAAUUCCUCCAUGUGGUAAAAAAAUUGCAUCCAUUGACUUUCACUGAUGCUUGCUGAACAUUUAUGGAGAUCAAACAGUGGAUGUGAGCUCAGUGAGGUUGUGGGUAAUGUGUUUCAACAGCAGUGAUAGUGGCAGUGGUUCACCUCCACCGGUGCAAAUUUUUACAAGAACAGCAAGCAGGUUCUCGUUCAUCGUUGGCAAAAAUGCAUAGCUAAUGACAGUGAAUAUGCAGCAAAAUAAAGUUUGUAUUUGAGAAUUUUCUCUAUGAAAUAGUGUUAUUGUGCUCUUUGUAUUUGUUGCAGUUUCUAUGGAAAUAAACAGCAAGUAUUACUUUUGAAUCAAUCUACGUUCCUGGAUGUAUUUUCUCUCUUAAAAUAAAUGAAUUUUCAAAGCACCACACUUUGCUCCAGUAUCUGUCAGUAGGUGUCAACAGCACAAAAAGGUAGUGGAAAGAAAUAAAAAGUAACCAUGAGAGUCUUGACAGACAGUAUUAGCAUCAGAGAACUUAGAGGCCACUCUCAACACAGUCAACCAUUUUAUCCUUUAGUCCUGCCAUUAUUUCCUUCCACUGAAACUACCUUUCUGCUUUUACCCUGAAAGUGUUAAACACUGCACAACCCUAACUAGCAUACCUGCUACUAUGUGCAUCAGGAGCUCACCAUUUCAUCAUCUGGCUGAGAUAUGCUGCUGGCAAGUUCUGCUUCCCUUCCUUUAUCACAACAUUGUGGUCGGAUGCAUCAGACCUCCCUCCCGCCUUAGCAAUGAUACAGGUAAAAACAUGCAUUUCUGACAAAUGGAUAACCCCAAGCAGAUCUGUGGAGACAAUGUUUUGACUUGCUGAACUUCCUGUUUCAUUCUGUUUUCAUCUGUCCCCAGAAACCUUGAAAGGGGUCGGUGAGAGGGUCCCAGGUGUGAUCUGAGCACCAGUGAUGUCAACAGCGAGCCAGGGGCUGUGCAGGGUGUGAAGUUAAAGGGAAGAGCAGAGAAAAGACUGUUGGUGCAGAGAACAAGGGUACUGAGAUUUGACUGUAUUUGUAGCUGUGCUGUAAAAAACUGUAAAACAUCCCAUGCCGUUAGCAUAAGAUUAGAUUUCUGCCAGGAAAAAAAAAAAAAAAAAGAGAGAGAGAGAGAGAACAAAAAGAAAUGGAACUGCUUAGAUAUAAGUUCCAAAGUUCAUUAAGAGGGUUCUUUUCUGCAUAGCUCCAAAGCUAAGAUGUGCUAAGGCAUGUAGAAAAAUAAGGAGGUGUUAAAAACCUACCCAACUUCUUAGCUUUCAAAAAAAGUUCAAAGUCCUAGUCAUCGAUUAUUUACAUGGUGACCUCCAGGCCUAUUUGUGAUGCCAAAAAAAUUGUACUCAGGAAGGAAGGAAGACAUUAUCAAAAAGGAAAGAAUUUCUGUUUAAUCUAAUAAUGCCUUUAUAAAAAUAACCAUUUUCUUUUACAUAUAAUAAAAAAUUCAUUAGAAAAUCUCAACAUAUUUUUAUAUAAAAAUAAUAACUGGCAACAUAGCUAGAAAUAAGAAGCAGAGAAAGAAACUUGGAUGCAUUUCUUGCUUGCAAGAGCAUGAUGAGGAAAUAAGGUAAUCUAGUCUUCCCAUUCUGAACAAAAUAGACAUGAUAACAGAAUAUAUAAAUCAAGACAUUUUUGGAGAAAUAAUGUCACUCCAUAAUUUUUGAAAGUAGAAAUAAUUUAAAAUUCAUGCAUGAAACUAAAUAGGUAAAAUAUGUCAUUUUGAAAUAACAUAACAGUAAAAAUAAUUUGUAAAACUUUUUUUGUUUUUUAACUGAGUCUCAUUUUAUACUUGGAAAAUUUUCUUUAGAAAAUUUUCAACCUCUUCUAUGUAGCUCCUGGGUAAAUAUGGAGGUUUUAUGGAAACCAAACAAAUGAAUUAAAUGACUACAAGAAUUAUUGGCUCUAAAUAUAUACAUUUUCUUCUGAUGCUACUAGAAUGUUACUAGUAUAUACUGUAUGAAUUAUAAAAAAUGUUAUGACAGAUAUGGAAGUAAUAUACUUCGGUGAUAAAUCUUCAAUAGAAAGAAUUUAUUAGAGUCAUAUAGAUCUACU
rnacentral:lncRNA from 1 species